rnacentral:RNase_MRP_RNA from 1 species
GGAAAGUCCCCGUGCCUCAGGGCAGAGAGUGCCAGCAGGAAACUGCGAAGCCAUGGUCAGUCGUCACGGAGAUGCCUCUGGCAUAGUUCCAGCGCCUGAUCGUGGUUGUUUGCAGCAGCACAGCAAUGUCGUGAACGUCCGGCCUAGGACGCCAACUGAACGGGGCUCACUCUCCU